UUUCAUUUCGGUUUUUCAACACAGCUUUAGCGCGCAACAUUUUCAACCGCUGCUUCAACGGAACACAUUCGUGUUCUUCGGACCACACAGUUUCGAGAGGCGAUUCGUCCUCAGAUUUCACUUGUUUGUAAUCGAACAAACCGGCGGAUACCUGAGCCUCCAUUGAUCGAACUGGUUUGUGGUUGAGCGGUUUUUACAGCAAUGGCGCCAUUGGAAUGGAGGAGGGUUGUGAAGUGAAGGGAGUUAAUUACUGUUUUCGUCCUUGUGGUUUGUCAAAAAUCACUAUUUCAGUCCAUUAG
rnacentral:lncRNA from 1 species